rnacentral:rRNA from 1 species
UACGGGGGGGGCAAGCGUUGUUCGGAAUUACUGGGCGUAAAGGGCUCGUAGGUGGCCAACUAAGUCAGACGUGAAAUCCCUCGGCUUAACCGGGGAACUGCGUCUGAUACUGGAUGGCUUGAGUUUGGGAGAGGGACGCGGAAUUCCAGGUGUAGCGGUGAAAUGCGUAGAGAUCGGGAGGAAGGCCGGUGGCGAAGGCGGCUCUCUGGAACGUCCCUGACGUUGAGGCGCGAAAGCGUGGGGAGCAAACAGG